rnacentral:lncRNA from 1 species
CGCGAAGUGAUGGACUUUAAAUCUCAGAGGAGGAAUGAGAAACUUGGUUAGUGGCUCUCUUGGCAUGUUCGUAGCCCUGUGGUUGAAGUGGCUGAAACCUGCGUUAAGCCUCAGUCCAAGCAGCUGGGGCCACACCAGUUUGCAAAGGCGGAUGUGGCAAUUUUCCACCGCAGCAGCAGCCUGCUGGCGCCUCAUCAGAUUCUCCUUUGGAGGAAGUAUCUUCUUCCCUUCAUUCUCGGUGAAUGGCAUCCAGAGAUAACCAAAAUCAGGUGUAUCUAGUUUCAAGUUCUGUCUUGCAACCGUGAUAAUUGGAGGAUGCAAACUUUACACUUUCUUCUCUAGCUGUCUACCACCACUGCUGCGCUUGUGGAUGACUGCAGGAACAGGGGUACUUGCCACAAGUAUCUCUCCAGAUUCAUCAGCCUUUCACCUGUGACAAGCGCAGUCAAGAAGUGGCUCCUAAGUAAGAGCUGGGGAAGAACAAGGAAGAUAGAGCUCAGAGUAGAAAGCUGUGAAGUUCUGCACAACAGGUCCCCUUGGCCUGCUCUAACAGUUGGAAUGUGGUGGAAGCAUUCAUUUACUCAACGAAUAUAUACUGAGUGCCUUUUGCAUGCUAGGCACGCUUCUAGGGGUUGAGGACACAGCAGAGAGCACAAACAACAAUUCCAGCCCUCAUGGAGCUUACCUCUUCCAGGUGGGAAAGACAGAUGGUAAAUGUAUAAGGACAAUAUAUGGACUGCUGUAUGAUUAGAAAUGCUAUGGAGAGGCUAGGAGUGCUGUCUCAUGCCUGUAAUCCCACAGUUUGGGAGGCCAAAGGAGGAGGAUCGCUUGAGGCCAGAAGUUGGAGACCCAACCUUGGCAACAUAGUAAGACCCCCUAUCUACAAAAAGUUUAAAAAUUAGCCAGGCAUGGUGGCGUGCACCUGUAGUCCUAGCUAUCCAGGAGGCUGAGGUGGGAGGAUCACUUGAGCCCACUGCAUGCCAGCCUGGGUGACAGAGUGAGACCCUGUCUUGAAAGAAAGAAAGAAAUGCUGUGGAUAAAAAUUAAGCAGAGAGGGUACAUAGAAAGUAUGAGGGGUGCUAUGUUCGGAGAGGGGUGAUGAUCAAGGAAAGCUUCUGGAGGAGGUAACAUUUGAGGAACGACUUGAGGGAGGUUAGGGAUAUCUGAGCAGACAACUUGCCAGGCAGAAAGCAUAGCAAAUGUAAAGGCCCUGAGGCAGGAGUAUGCUAAGUGUACUAGGAACAAUCCAGAAGGCGCCAUGAAAGAAUGGAGAAGAUGAAGUCAAAGAAGUGAAAGGUGGGGGUGAUGCAGAUCAACAGGCAUGGUAGCUCAUGUGGAAGCUUCCCGAGGCCCUCACCCAGAAGCAGAUGCUGGAGCCAUGCUUGUACAGCUUGCAGAACUGU